rnacentral:siRNA from 1 species
AGGUAGUUCCUCCCUUCUUCCA